GGACUACACGGGUAUCUAAUCCCGUUUGCUCCCCUGGCUUUCGCGCAUCAGCGUCAGAAAGGACCCAGCACCUCGCCUUCGCCACCGGAGUUCCGGUCGAUAUCAACGCAUUUCACCGCUCCACCGACCGUUCCAGAUGCCCCUAUCCUCCUCGAGGCCAGCAGUAUCCACGGCACUUCCCCGGUUAAGCCGGGGGCUUUCACCACAGACUGGCUGGCCCGCCUACGCGCCCUUUAAGCCCAGUGAUUCCGAACAACGUUUGCACGGUUCGUCUUACCGCGGCUGCUGGCAC
rnacentral:rRNA from 1 species